UGAUAUAUCGGUUUGUAAAAACCUACUCAGUACUCCCUCUUUCCUACUGUUUCUUCAUGUUUUCAUUCUUAUUUUCCCCAGAGUUUUUUUUUUUAACCCUGUUCAUCUCUUCCUCUUAAUCUAUGUUCUUAACAUCGUACUUCUUUAACCACACCCCGGAAAAUUUUUAUCUGGCAGCUAACAAUCGUCCUUUGUCUAUUGUGCAGACCUUUUGGACUAAAAAAGCCAGAAUUCCUAGGAAUUUACAGGUUAAUCCAUCGUUGAUACUAAGAAAUUAAGAGGCUAACCAUAUACUAAGGGUAAGAAGGUUAUAGACAGUUUAAUUUACAUGAUUAUGCAAAAAAAAACUAUUUAAAACAUAUAUAAGAACAUGAAUAUAAAUAUUUUUGUGGGGAAAAUAUGGAAAUAAGAACUUACAUGAAGUAACUAGGAGAGAGGUUUCCCUUUCGGGAACCCCCUAAAGAUCGAAUAGAAAACUUGAAUCUUUUAUUUAAACCACGAUGUUACAAAGUUUAUACAAGAACGACUGGGUUAGACAAGUUUUUU
rnacentral:lncRNA from 1 species